CUAAUACAUGCAAGUCGAGCGAAGUUUUCUGGUGCUUGCACUAGAAAAACUUAGCGGCGAACGGGUGAGUAACACGUAAAGAACCUGCCUCAUAGACGGGGACAACUAUUGGAAACGAUAGCUAAUACCGGAUAACAGCAUAAAUCGCAUGAUAUAUGUUUAAAAGUUGGUUUCGGCUAACACUAUGAGAUGGCUUUGCGGUGCAUUAGCUAGUUGGUGGGGUAAAGGCCUACCAAGGCGACGAUGCAUAGCCGACCUGAGAGGGUGAUCGGCCACACUGGGACUGAGACACGGCCCAGACUCCUACGGGAGGCAGCAGUAGGGAAUCUUCCGCAAUGGGCGAAAGCCUGACGGAGCAACGCCGCGUGAGUGAAGAAGGAUUUCGGUUCGUAAAGCUCUGUUGUUAGGGAAGAAUGAUUGUAUAGUAACUAUAUACAGUAGAGACGGUACCUAACCAGAAAGCCACGGCUAACUACGUGCCAGCAGCCGCGGUAAUACGUAGGUGGCAAGCGUUGUCCGGAAUUAUUGGGCGUAAAGCGCGCGCAGGUGGUUUAAUAAGUCUGAUGUGAAAGCCCACGGCUCAACCGUGGAGGGUCAUUGGAAACUGUUAAACUUGAGUGCAGGAGAGAAAAGUGGAAUUCCUGGUGUAGCGGUGAAAUGCGUAGAGAUUAGGAGGA
rnacentral:rRNA from 1 species